CGCAAAUUACCCACUCCCGGCACGGGGAGGUAGUGACAAAAAAUAACGAUACGGGACUCUAAUGAGGCCCCGUAAUCGGAAUGAGUACACUUUAAAUCCUUUAACAAGGAUCCAUUGGAGGGCAAGUCUGGUGCCAGCAGCCGCGGUAAUUCCAGCUCCAAUAGCGUAUAUUAAAGUUGUUGCGGUUAAAAAGCUCGUAGUUGGUUCUGCGUGCCGCGCUGUCGGUUCGCCGCCUGUCGGUGUAACUGGCAUGUCGCGGCAUGUCCUGUCGGUGGUGAACCGAAGAUGCCCGGUGCUAGCUUAGGCUAUUAGUCUUUGUUGUGUGCCGUGUGUGUUUUCGUUUGCCGAUCUCUCCUACUCCGGUGCUCUUAAACGAGUGUCGAGGUAGGCCGACACGUUCACUUUGAACAAAUUAGAGUGCUUAAAGCAGGCUGAAAUAUCUGCCUGAAUAGUGGUGCAUGGAAUGAUAAAAUAGGACCUCGGUUCUAUUUUGUUGGUUUUAGGAAUAUGAGGUAAUGAUCAAUGUGGACUGGCGGGGGCAUUCGUAUUGCGACGUUAGAGGUGAAAUUCUUGGAUCGUCGCAAGACGCACUAGAGCGAAAGCAUUUGCCAAGUAUGUCUUAAUUGAUCAAGAACGAAAGUUAGAGGUUCGAAGGCGAUCAGAUACCGCCCUAGUUCUAACCAUAAACGAUGCCGGCCAGCGAUCCGCCGAUGUUCCUUUAAUGACUCGGCGGGGAGCUUCUACUCGGGAAACCAAAGCUUUUGGGUUCCGGGGGAAGUAUGGUUGCAAAGCUGAAACUUAAAGGAAUUGACGGAAGGGCACCACCAGGAGUGGAGCCUGCGGCUUAAUUUGACUCAACACGGGAAACCUCACUAGGCCAGGACAUUGGAAGGAUUGACAGAUUGAUAGCUCUUUCUUGAUUCAG
rnacentral:rRNA from 1 species